rnacentral:rRNA from 1 species
UUGAACGCUGGCGGCAUGCUUUACCCCUGCCAGUCGAACGGUAACAGGCCGCAAGGUGCUGACGAGUGGCGAACGGGUGAGUAAUGCAUCGGAACGUGCCCAGUCGUGGGGGAUAACUACUCGAAAGAGUAGCUAAUACCGCAUACGAUCUAUGGAUGAAAGCGGGGGACCGUAAGGCCUCACGCGAUUGGAGCGGCCGAUGUCAGAUUAGGUAGUUGGUGGGGUAAAGGCUCACCAAGCCAACGAUCUGUAGCUGGUCUGAGAGGACGACCAGCCACACUGGGACUGAGACACGGCCCAGACUCCUACGGGAGGCAGCAGUGGGGAAUUUUGGACAAUGGGCGCAAGCCUGAUCCAGCAAUGCCGCGUGCAGGAAGAAGGCCUUCGGGUUGUAAACUGCUUUUGUACGGAACGAAACGGCUCUGGUUAAUACCCGGGGCUAAUGACGGUACCGUAAGAAUAAGCACCGGCUAACUACGUG